GAGAGUGUAGCUUAAGUGGUAGAGCAUAUGCUUAGUAUGCACAAGGCCCUGGGUUCAAUCCCCAGUACUGCCU
rfam:Camelus ferus unplaced genomic scaffold scaffold672, whole genome shotgun sequence.